rnacentral:lncRNA from 1 species
GGAAUCAGAAUUGAUGUGAUCAGAGAGAGUGAAGAUUGGAUGGCUUCAAGCUGCUUGGACAUCUUCUCUUGAGUUGAUUCAAUGAUGGUCAUCCUCUUGUCCAGAGAUUCAUGUGCAGACACCAGCUUCUGAACAUUAUCUCUCAGAGGUAGUAGAGUCCUUUUCUUCUCCAUGUCAUUUGUCUCCUUGAUAUUAGCCAC